rnacentral:rRNA from 1 species
GAUGAACGCUGACAGAAUGCUUAACACAUGCAAGUCAACUUGAAUUUGGGUUUUUAACUUAGGUUUGGGUGGCGGACGGGUGAGUAACGCGUAAAGAACUUGCCUCACAGCUAGGGACAACAUUUGGAAACGAAUGCUAAUACCUAAUAUUAUGAUAAUAGGGCAUCCUAUAAUUAUGAAAGCUAUAAGCGCUGUGAGAGAGCUUUGCGUCCCAUUAGCUAGUUGGAGAGGUAACGGCUCACCAAGGCGAUGAUGGGUAGCCGGCCUGAGAGGGUGAUCGGCCACAAGGGGACUGAGACACGGCCCUUACUCCUACGGGAGGCAACAGUGGGGAAUAUUGGACAAUGGACCGAGAGUCUGAUCCAGCAAUUCCGUGUGCACGAUGAAGUUUUUCGGAAUGUAAAGUGCUUUCAGUUGGGAAGAAACAAAUGACGGUACCAACAGAAGAAGUGACGGCUAAAUACGUG